AAAUUUGAUUUAGAAAAAAAAAAAUCUAAUCUUGACUUUCUUGGCGACAAAAAUUUUAUAAAAGACAAAAAUGGCAACAGGUUUCUGUGUAAAAGUAUUAGCAGAAUUAUGAUUAAAAUGCUGCAUUCCCUUAAUGCUCAGUAUAAAAUGAGACAAGGCAACAGAGCACCUUAGGUAUAAUAUUUCUAAGAUAAUUUAUUAUCAGUUCUCUACUGUUAAAAUAUUAGCAAGAAGGUUUGUUUUCGUUGAACUACUUAAUGUGUUCCUGUAGUACAGAAAAGGACGCUCGUGUGUCAGUGACUAUCGUCAGAUAGCAGUGGGAACACAUCUGCAGAUGUCUCUUCCUUUAAGCUUUCUUCCUUCCCUCUGUUGCCAUCGUAAUGAUCAAGUUCUGAUAUAUACUAUUCAAAGGUAGUUUAACAAUUCCAUGCCCAAGAUGCAUCUUUUUUAUCAAUUAUAACAAAAAGAUAUUCACACAUUGGCU
rnacentral:lncRNA from 1 species